rnacentral:rRNA from 1 species
AGUAGUUUGAUCAUGGCUCAGGACGAACGCUGGCGGCGUGCUUAACACAUGCAAGUCGAACGGGGAUCAUUAGGAUGAGAGCUUCGGCAGGAUUCCGGAUGAUUCUAGUGGCGGACGGGUGAGUAACGCGUGAGCAAUCUGUCCCAGACAGGGGAAUAACACUUGGAAACAGGUGCUAAUACCGCAUAAGACCACAGUAUCGCAUGGUACAGGGGUAAAAGGAGCAAUCCGGUUUGGGGUGAGCUCGCGUCCGAUUAGAUAGUUGGUGAGGUAACGGCCCACCAAGUCGACGAUCGGUAGCCGACCUGAGAGGGUGAUCGGCCACAUUGGAACUGAGAGACGGUCCAAACUCC